GAUGAAGAACGCAGCGAAAUGCGAUAAGUAAUGUGAAUUGCAGAAUUCAGUGAAUCAUCGAAUCUUUGAACGCACAUUGCGCCCGCCAGUACUCUGGCGGGCAUGCCUGUUCGAGCGUCAUUUCAACCAUCAAGCCCCCGGCUUGUGUUGGGGACCUGCGGCUGCCGCAGGCCCUGAAAACCAGUGGCGGGCUCGCUGUCACACCGAGCGUAGUAGAUUUUCAUCUCGCUCAGGGCGUGCUGCGGGUUCCGGCCGUGAAACCCCCUACUUUUAAAGGUUGACCUCGGAUCAGGUAGGAAUACCCGCUGAACUUAAGCAUAUCAAUAAGCGGAGGA
rnacentral:misc_RNA from 1 species